AUUGAACGCUGGCGGCAUGCCUUACACAUGCAAGUCGAACGGUAACAGGUCUUCGGAUGCUGACGAGUGGCGAACGGGUGAGUAAUACAUCGGAACGUGCCCAGUCGUGGGGGAUAACGAAGCGAAAGCUUUGCUAAUACCGCAUACGAUCCACGGAUGAAAGCGGGGGAUCGCAAGACCUCGCGCGAUUGGAGCGGCCGAUGUUAGAUUAGGUAGUUGGUGGGGUAAAGGCUUACCAAGCCUACGAUCUGUAGCUGGUCUGAGAGGACGACCAGCCACACUGGGACUGAGACACGGCCCAGACUCCUACGGGAGGCAGCAGUGGGGAAUUUUGGACAAUGGGCGCAAGCCUGAUCCAGCAAUGCCGCGUGCAGGAUGAAGGCCUUCGGGUUGUAAACUGCUUUUGUACGGAACGAAAAGCUCUGGGUUAAUACCCUGGAGUCAUGACGGUACCGUAAGAAUAAGCACCGGCUAACUACGUGCCAGCAGCCGCAGUAA
rnacentral:rRNA from 1 species